GAUGAACGCUAGCUACAGGCUUAACACAUGCAAGUCGAGGGGUAACGAGAGGAAAGCUUGCUUUCCUUGUCGACGACCGGCGCACGGGUGAGUAAUGCGUAUCCAACCUGCCCCCAACUAAGGAAUAACCUUGCGAAAGUAAGACUAAUACCUUAUAAUUUCCUCAGAUGUCAUCUGACGAGGAAUAAAGAUUUAUCGGUUGUGGAUGGGGAUGCGUCUGAUUAGCUUGUUGGCGGGGUAACGGCCCACCAAGGCAACGAUCAGUAGGGGUUCUGAGAGGAAGGUCCCCCACAUUGGAACUGAGACACGGGCCAAACUCCUACGGGAGGCAGCAGUGAGGAAUAUUGGUCAAUGGGCGGAAGCCUGAACCAGCCAAGUAGCGUGCAGGAUGACGGCCCUAUGGGUUGUAAACUGCUUUUAUACAGGAAUAAAGUUAGCCACGUGUGGUUAUUUGUAGGUACUGUAUGAAUAAGGACCGGCUAAUUCCGUGCCAGCAGCCGCGGUAA
rnacentral:rRNA from 1 species